rnacentral:rRNA from 1 species
UGGGGAAUAUUGCACAAUGGGCGCAAGCCUGAUGCAGCCAUGCCGCGUGUAUGAAGAAGGCCUUCGGGUUGUAAAGUACUUUCAGCGGGGAGGAAGGGAGUAAAGUUAAUACCUUUGCUCAUUGACGUUACCCGCAGAAGAAGCACCGGCUAACUCCGUGCCAGCAGCCGCGGUAAUACGGAGGGUGCAAGCGUUAAUCGGAAUUACUGGGCGUAAAGCGCACGCAGGCGGUUUGUUAAGUCAGAUGUGAAAUCCUCGGGCUCAACCUGGGAACUGCAUCUGAUACUGGCAAGCUUGAGUGUCGUAGAGGGGGGUAGAAUUCCAGGUGUAGCGGUGAAAUGCGUAGAGAUCUGGAGGAAUACCGGUGGCGAAGGCGACCCCCUGGACGAAGACUGACGCUCAGGUGCGAAAGCGUGGGGAGCAAACAGG